GCCAGCGUAGCUCAGCCGGUAGAGCUACUGAUUUGUAAUCAGUGGGUCGGGGGUUCGAAUCCCUUCGCUGGCUCCA
rnacentral:tRNA from 1 species